UUGGAGGGGGGAGCGGUGGGGUUUGAACCAUGAACCUCACUGUUUGUAGAUAGGGGUUCAUAAUAUUUAAGUUGAAAUGUUCUAUUUUUAUAAAAUAUUAAUGGACUAUAUGAUCGUUUCAAUAUGUAGGGUUGGUUUCUAUUGAAAAUUUCCCUAAGAGUAAGAACUAAGAAGCUAUCUAACCCUUUGAUUUGAAUAGAUCUAACGACUCAGAUUUAAUGGCUU
rnacentral:lncRNA from 1 species